UCUCUUUUAGUCUUGCGUAUUAAUUUUUUAAAUUAAAGAUGAUUUCGUAGGUCGUCGCACCAAAGACGUCUUUAAGAUUACAAAAUAUGUUCAUUUUUUACCAUUCGAUUAAUAAACCACACGCUCAGCUGCCAUCUUAUAAUCUUCUUGCUCCGCUUUAUUAAAGGUUCAUGUGUGUAGAAUCGCAUAAAUGCUGCUACAAAAAGUGUUUUUUUAUUAAACAAUUAAAGAAAAUGAAACGGCAAAAGAAUUUUUUGUCGCUAUCAAAACAUCAAAAGAAUCGGCGUAUAGUGCAGCUGGUAAAUAAAGACUGCAUUGUGCCAAGAAAGUACUGCGUCAAAUAAUGCUGAAAAUCGUAAUUCAAGAAAUUUAGAGUCAGUUGAUUUAUUACAAUCAUCCGCUAAGGAAAGGUAUCUUGUGACUGCAUCGGAGGAAGCAGCAGAUCAGGAGUUACUCAGAGCUUUCGGUUCGAAUAAUGUAUUGGAUCCUAAUAGCACCGAUGAAAGACUUGUGGACAACAACAAACUCAAUAUCCACCACAAUGCAAAACGUUUCACUCACAAGGAAAUCUCUCCAACCCGACCCCACUGAUUUCAAUAAUUUUUUGAUAUGUUGUAGUACUCGACAAAAUAAGAGACACGUAUUUUUUUUUUGUGCUGACAUCCACUUUAAAGGGGUGAAAACGACCC